CUUCUUUUGUUGUCUUGGAAGUUGGAACGAAAAAGGUUUUGCAUGUAUGUAUGAAAAGCAUAAAAAAGCAAAGCAUGCAUCUGUUCGGACUCUCUGUCCAAUGUGCCAAGUAACACGUUUCACCGCCUCCCCUCUCAGAAACUUUCUCAAAGUCUCUCACUUCUCAAAUUUUUUCCCCUGCUCUUCGGUUGCCCACCAGAACAGAAUAGAAAAAAGGCAGAUGACUCCUUUGUCUCACCCAUUUCUCCUCACUUCUUCGUUAAUGGUCGAUUCCUCUCAAGCUCUCUAUUCAAAUAAUAGUAAAGAGGAAACAAAGAUGAAGGGGGAAGAUGUUUGAUUCAUCUCAGUCAUCUGAAUCAUUUUUUUCCCCAAAUGUAAUCAUGUCUCUCCAAACGCAGGAGCAAGAACCAUUGUCCCUCUACUAAGAUGUGGAAAAAUCUGAUAUAGAAAUUGACUACUGUCACAUUGGCUAAGGCCCUAAGGAUGACUUGAGACGUGGUGAAGAGGAGGAUGAUGAUGAUGUUGCUAUUCAAGAAAAGGCAAGGCAGUGAGAUGAUUGGAAAAAUGAUAACCUACAUCGAGUUGGCAAUAAGAAGCUCAAUUCUUAUAGAGAUUAUUUUCAUGUGGAUGGUAAUUCUUGUAAUGUUAGUCUUGUAUCUUAAAGAUAAAUAGAUAAUUUUAACUUCAGUAGCAGUGAAAGUCUAAUUAUCCAUUUCUUAGCUUUUAUCAUACAUUUGUUUUAGUAAAUAAUAAUUCAAAUACAACAAACUUAUUUCUUUUCUGUGAA